rnacentral:lncRNA from 1 species
UUGUUUUUGCUUCUGUUCGGUAAUGCAUUGCUAAUUGCUAGGGGAGGCUAGGGAUAGCAAGCCGGUAAUUCAUAAUAGGCUCUUUUCGCCGAGGGAUCGGGUUAAGGGUAGGCCAAGAAAGUUUGCAUAACAAUUCGAUAAUCAAGCACAUUAAACAAGAGGAGUAGACAAGAUGGAGCGGAUAAGAUGAAAUUGUCAACCCCCAACAACUUCAUUCAUCCAUAGUCUUUUUCGUCAAUUGAAUCAAAUAUAUUG